AUUGACCGCUAGCGGGAUGCCUUACACAUGCAAGUCGAACGGAGUGUCGAACGGGUGAGUAAUGUAUCGGAACGUGCCCAGUGGCGGGGGAUAACUACGCGAACGCGUAGCUAAUACCGCAUCCUCUUGGAUCGGCCUAUAUCGUAUUAGCUAGUUGGUGGGGGCACGGCGCACAAAGGCGACGAUCCGUAGCUGGUUUGAGAGGACUACCAGCCACACUGGGACUGAGACACGGCCCAGACGCCGACGUGAGGCAGCAGUGGGGAAUUUUGGAAAAGGGGGGAAACCCUGAUCCAGCCGUCCCGCGUGUGCGAGGAAGGCCUUCGGGUUGUAAAGCACUUUUGGCAGGAAAGCGGUACCUGCAGAAUAAGCACCGGCUAACUACGUGCCAGCCGCCGCGGUAAUUC
rnacentral:rRNA from 1 species